GGCACGAUGGUGAAGUGGUAACACGGCUGUCUGCAAAACAGCCAUGCGGGGGUUCGAUUCCCCCUCGUGCCU
rnacentral:tRNA from 1 species